rnacentral:rRNA from 1 species
GAUGAACGCUGGCGGCGUGCUUAACACAUGCAAGUCGAACGGACAUAUACCGAAACCUAGUGAAGUAUAUGUUAGUGGCGGACGGGUGAGUAACGCGUGGAUAACCUGCCGUGCACAGGGGGAUAACACUUAGAAAUAGGUGCUAAUACCGCAUAAGCGCACAGUUUCGCAUGAGACAGUGUGAAAAGCCUGGAAGCGAUUCCGGGCGGUGCAUGAUGGAUCCGCGUCCGAUUAGCUAGUUGGCGGGGUAAAGGCCCACCAAGGCAGCGAUCGGUAGCCGGCCUGAGAGGGUGGACGGCCACAUUGGGACUGAGACACGGCCCAA